rnacentral:lncRNA from 10 species
GGUGUAUUCCCAGCUGCACUCUCUCUGGAGGCUCUUCAGGAGAAUCUGUUCCUUGCUUUGUCAAUUCCUGAUGGCUGCUGGCAGUCCUUGGCAUGUGGCUGCAUCACUCCUGUCUCUGCUGUCUCUUUGAUGGAGUGCCCAGUGAUGGAAACUGGCUCACUUUUUACCUCAGGAAUUAAGAGACAUUUGAAAGACAAAAGAAUUUCAAAGACUACUAAGUUGAAUGUUUCUCUUGCUUCAAAAAUAAAAACAAAAAUACUAAGUAAGUGCCAUCAGUUUUAAAAUACACUCACGUUUUAACUUUUCCCCAGAAUUGUUAUAUAUUUGCUACCUUAUUUUAUCAAGUACAGAAAAUUACUAAAAUGACCAUUUUGUUAACUGAUAACUUUUUAAAUUUGAUCCUUCCUAUCUCCUUCAACUCCUGUUAGUUGGGUGGUUUUGAUGAUUUACCCUAAGUGUGACACAGUUGAAUUUUCAGCAGUGAGGCUGCAGUGACCCAAGACAGCUACUUUCUACAGCGCAGAAAAAA